rnacentral:rRNA from 1 species
UACGUAGGGUCCGAGCGUUGUCCGGAAUUAUUGGGCGUAAAGGGCUCGUAGGCGGUCCGUCGCGUCGCGAGUGAAAACUCGGAGCUUAACUCCGAGCCUGCUUCCGAUACGGGCAGACUAGAGGUAGGCAGGGGAGAGCGGAACUCCUGGUGUAGCGGUGGAAUGCGCAGAUAUCAGGAAGAACACCUGUGGCGAAGGCGGCUCUCUGGGACGGUACUGACGCUGAGACGCGAAAGCGUGGGGAGCGAACAGG